rnacentral:rRNA from 1 species
AUCCUGGCUCAGGACGAACGCUGGCGGCGUGCCUAAUACAUGCAAGUCGAGCGGACAGAUGGGAGCUUGCUCCCUGAUGUCAGCGGCGGACGGGUGAGUAACACGUGGGUAACCUGCCUGUAAGACUGGGAUAACUCCGGGAAACCGGGGCUAAUACCGGAUGCUUGAUUGAACCGCAUGGUUCAAUUAUAAAAGGUGGCUUUUAGCUACCACUUACAGAUGGACCCGCGGCGCAUUAGCUAGUUGGUGAGGUAACGGCUCACCAAGGCAACGAUGCGUAGCCGACCUGAGAGGGUGAUCGGCCACACUGGGACUGAGACACGGCCCAGACUCCUACGGGAGGCAGCAGUAGGGAAUCUUCCGCAAUGGACGAAAGUCUGACGGAGCAACGCCGCGUGAGUGAUGAAGGUUUUCGGAUCGUAAAACUCUGUUGUUAGGGAAGAACAAGUACCGUUCGAAUAGGGCGGUACCUUGA